rnacentral:rRNA from 1 species
GACGAACCGUGCUAACGUUGUUCGGAAUCACUGGGCUUAAAGGGCGCGUAGGCGGUGUGUUAAGUCGGCGGUGAAAUACUUCAGCUCAACUGAAGAAUUGCCGCUGAAACUGACAUGCUAGAGGGAGGUAGAGGUGCGUGGAACUUCCGGUGGAGCGGUGAAAUGCGUUGAUAUCGGAAGGAACACCUGUGGCGAAAGCGUCGCACUGGACCUCUUCUGACGCUGAUGCGCGAAAGCUAGGGUAGCGAACGGG